CCACGCCCGACGCGGCCUCUCCCUCGCGCAAUCUAGCGGCGGAUGCACCGUCUUCUUCUCGGUGCGCCGCCUCCGCCCCUCCUCCCCUCCUGGUGCGCGGCUCUCCCUCCCCUCCACGCUGUGCUUCCUUCCCUCCUCUAGUCUGUGCCUCUUCUUUCCCAUAGUUGAGAAUCAGCGAGUCAUGGUGGAAUCGACGCGACCUGAAGGUGUUGUCCUGCAUCUCAGCCCUUGCCCCGGUAUGGAUUUGCUGCCGCCGCAAGUUGCCGGCAUUGAUGUAUUACCGUUGUAGCCUGAUGGCCUUGCGUUGGGUUGGGUUACUGUUCCUCCGUCAUCAUCGUCCAAAACACCAUCGACGUCCAGGGAGUAAUAUUUGGUGAACAAGUCGGCGAGUUUUCCUGCAGCCACCAUGUGCUUUUAGCAAUGGUAUUUUCCUGCAGCCACCUUUAUAUGCUUCUGUUUGGAGGUAUGGAUAUUUUCUUAUUGUCUUCUCUGGAUGAUAUAUAUGGUCUUAAGAAUUCUUAUCGGAUUUUUUAGUUGUAGUUUCAUGACAGCAUAUUAUGUUUAUGCUAUGAGUAGGUUUUGCCUCAAUUUCCUUCCCUAUGCAACAAAUCAUAUUUUAUUUGUUAAUUUGUUAUGCUCUAUAUUUGUACAUAGCGGAAAUACAUAUGCAUUGAUGAUAUCCUUUUUCUACAAUCUUAUAUUGGCAAUAGUGCUGCAUACAUCAUGAAAAAUUAUCUGUAGACCUAACGACUUGGUAUAUUACCACUAAAUUUGGAUUAUGCAAUUCAUUUUCUAAGACAGACGAAAGGGUCGUUAGGACUAGACUGAUGAUUGUGCUGAUUUUAUGGUAAUGAUAUGAUUUCAUGGUGUAAGUAUUUUAGCCUCAUAUGUGGAGACUCCAUUAUUCUACGAAUCAUAUUAUAACGACUAAAAUGGGUCAAUGUUGGGUCUAUAAGUCAAGACAAAUCACAAAUUAUGUUGCACAACUAGCGAAAAAAAUCUCUCCAUUGAAGAUCUCAAUAUUGGUAAGAAAUUUACUAAACCACAAUUACUAAAUUUCUAAAUCAGUUCAGACUCUAUAUAUAACAAGCUAACAAUUUAGAUGAGACAUGCCAUAUGUUCCAACAGGGACGCACUGGAAUGUUAUUUUUCUUCUGUACAAGCGUUAUUCCUGUUUUUUCUCUUUCCAGCUCUGUUUGGUUUUGGAAUUUUUUAAUGACCCAUCCUUCAGGAUUGAUUGUUUUCUUUGCAAAUAUACCUACAGAGUUUUCAUUAUAAGCUGACUUUAAGAUAUGAUGUCAUUAUUAUUUUUUGUUUAAUUGAUUAAAUGUUUAUGUUUGCCCCUUCUUGGAAGAAAUAGAUAUUUCAAUAUGGUUUUUUUGACGAGUGUUUUCUCCUACCUGUCAUAUAUACUCAUCAGGUAGCAAUAUAUGGAUGACAUCCAAACAUGCGCUUAAACAUGAUUAUGUAAGAGUUACCUUAGUAUUCAUAGUAUUCAGUGGCAAGGAGGUACCACUUCAUGUACUAAAUUGUUGCAAGUACAUUAUGCGAUGUGGUGUUGUUUUUAUUGAGCUAAGCACUAAAAUUUUCUUUGCGGUGCAGUGCUAUAUAUGUGAAAAGAUUCAAUUAGUUUA